GAUGAACGCUGGCGGCGUGCCUAAUACAUGCAAGUCGAGCGAACGGACGAGAAGCUUGCUUCUCUGAUGUUAUCGGCGGACGGGUGAGUAACACGUGGAUAACCUACCUAUAAGACUGGGAUAACUUCGGGAAACCGGAGCUAAUACCGGAUAAUAUUUUGAACCGCAUGGUUCAAAAGUGAAAGACGGUCUUGCUGUCACUUAUAGAUGGAUCCGCGCUGCAUUAGCUAGUUGGUAAGGUAACGGCUUACCAAGGCAACGAUGCAUAGCCGACCUGAGAGGGUGAUCAGCCACACUGGAACUGAGACACGGUCCAGACUCCUACGGGAGGCAGCAGUAGGGAAUCUUCCGCAAUGGGCGAAAGCCUGACGGAGCAACGCCGCGUGAGUGAUGAAGGUCUUCGGAUCGUAAAACUCUGUUAUUAGGGAAGAACAUAUGUGUAAGUAACUGUGCACAUCUUGACGGUACCUAAUCAGAAAGCCACGGCUAACUACGUG
rnacentral:rRNA from 1 species